GAGCAUUGGGUCCCAAAUACUGAGUACAGCAAUAAGAAGUUCACUACUGCUAUAGGGAUUGAGGUUCGAAGUCGAGCUCCGGUAUGUUACCGCGGAUGGAAUAAGAUUCCAGGAAAUAUUAAGAGGACACUACGAGAGGGAUUGACGGUACACUUUGACGUGGAAAUAGAACAUCCAAAAAUUAUCUAUUUUGUGGAUGAUAAGAUGCGCUCGGCGUAUACUCAAUUCAAGUGGAAGUUGCACGAUCAUUACCAAAAAUGUGGCACACCUGUUCGGGGACGAGCCACACUUCCUCCACCUGAUCUAUGGGGUGAGAGAUCGACAGAGGAGUGGCAUUGGCUAUGUGAUAAACUCUACACCGAUCCAAAAUAUAUUGAUAAAUGCGAGAAGAAUUCAACUAGCCGAAAGAGACAAAGGAGUACGCAUCGUGGUGGAGCCAUGCCUUUCAUUCAACAUGCUUUGAGGACAGCCAAGGUAAAUUUAAUGAGUUUCAAGUGAGUUAAUUAAAAUGUUAUCUUGAAUAAUUGUUAAUUUGGGAGAUUUUUUUAAAUUGCAGGAGGGCAAUCCUUUGUCUUUCAUAGACAAUUGGGCAGCUAUGUAUCGAGAUUCAAAUAGCAAUUGGGUUAGUGAUGCUGCACGUGAUAAAUAUGAUCGACUGAAAAAUAAGAGAGAAGAGCAUAAGGAGAAACUAACCCUGGAGGCACCAGAGGGUACUCCACCAGAAUCUGUACAAGUUACUGCGCGUGAUGAGAUUCCAAUCAUGGCUGAAGAGUGUGGAAGGAAGGGAAAAAGAGUUCGUGGUUUAGGCUCGUUUCCUCGCAUGGAGCUUCCAACUGUUACAUCUUCAACAGCUGUGAGUUCUGAGAUGAACGUAAUGCAAGAUAAAGUGAAGAAGCUUGAAUCAACUGUGGACACUAUGCGGUCACAAAAUGCACAGCUAAUGACAAUGUUGAAGAAGUUCAUGAUGAAUAGCCAAGGUUGCUUUGCUGAUACAGAAAACAUUGACAUGAAUAUCGUAGUACCCAACAGUGAAGAAGAUGAUGUCUUUGGAAGAGAUGAAGACGGUGUCCAAAACAAUGGAGAUAAUUCCGAAACAGAGGAUUUGGAG